rnacentral:lncRNA from 1 species
AAAGAAGACCCAGGCAGGGGAAGUUAGUUACCCAUGAUCACAUAGCAAAUGCAUGCAGAACAAGCAUAGGAUUCCCUCCCCCCUUUCCUGAUCCUCAGGGCUUGAAGGGGCACUGGGAACAUCUAGAACAUGCUGCAGCAGAGGGACACGUGAAGCCAAGGAGCCGAUGUGGGCAGAGGCCCCAAGCAGCAAGCUGCAGACUUAGAAGCUGGUCUUGGGUACAUUAGGAGACGCUGUCUAAGGCCCAGUUGAAGAGGAGGUCACUGUGUACCCAGAACCAAUCCAGAUGUUUGGACAUGAACGUUCACCUUGUUAUUUUCCUGGAGGAGGGAAGAAAAGAGGGUGGUUCUUGCUCCAAUGGAGAAACCAGCAGAUACAGCCUCUUCAAAGCUGCCUGGUUCGUGACAUGCCUCCCCAAACCACGGGACACUGAACCAUGACUCUGGGGUUCAUGAUGGAGCUGAGAGAUGAGCCUUUAACUUAGCAGCCGCCUGCUGAACCGUGAAGAAACUUAAAAUAGCGAUGAUCUCCCUUCCAUGCUGCCUCUUUCCCCACAUAGAACCCGCAAGCCAAUCUGCGGUGUUUAUACUCAAGGCCAUAUGAAGCUAAUCUGUAUGGAAAUAAAGGAUAGAAAUAUUCAGAUUGAGUUUUACUA